rnacentral:rRNA from 1 species
UUUGAUCCAUGCUCAGAACGAACGCUGGCGGCAGGCUUAACACAUGCAAGUCGAGCGAGAUCUUCGGAUCUAGCGGCGGACGGGUGAGUAACGCGUGGGAACGUGCCCUUUGCUACGGAAUAGUCCCGGGAAACUGGGUUUAAUACCGUAUACGCCCUUCGGGGGAAAGAUUUAUCGGCAAAGGAUCGGCCCGCGUUGGAUUAGGUAGUUGGUGGGGUAAUGGCCUACCAAGCCGACGAUCCAUAGCUGGUUUGAGAGGAUGAUCAGCCACACUGGGACUGAGACACGGCCCAGACUCCUACGGGAGGCAGCAGUGGGGAAUCUUAGACAAUGGGGGCAACCCUGAUCUAGCCAUGCCGCGUGAGUGAUGAAGGCCUUAGGGUUGUAAAGCUCUUUCAGCUGGGAAGAUAAUGACGGUACCAGCAGAAGAAGCCCCGGCUAACUCCGUGCCAGCAGCCGCGGUAAUACGGAGGGGGCUAGCGUUGUUCGGAAUUACUGGGCGUAAAGCGCACGUAGGCGGAUUGAAAAGUUGGGGGUGAAAUCCCGGGGCUCAACCUCGGAACUGCCUCCAAAACUAUCAGUCUAGAGUUCGAGAGAGGUGAGUGGAAUUCCGAGUGUAGAGGUGAAAUUCGUAGAUAUUCGGAGGAACACCAGUGGCGAAGGCGGCUCACUGGCUCGAUACUGACGCUGAGGUG